GUCCCGUCCCGUCCAGGGUUUACCCUGCCUUGUGCCCUUUCCGUGCCGAGAUCUGUUCCGGCUCCCCUGCGAGCCUGUAUUGGAUAAAUCGGGGAGAAAGAGGCCGUACGGAUGGGUGGUUCAGAGAACAAUUCACCGGCCCUGUUGGAGAGGGCCGUCGGUCAAAACGCUGCGUGCGUGCUUUUACAAACUCCUUUAAAAACCGUGCUCCGGAACGCGAACCGGCUUGCAAAAACGGUAGACCUGCUUGCCCGAGCUCUCGGUCGCUGGCGGGCUCAGUCCGCGCAGCCGACACACCGAGGGCCGGUCGCAGGGCUGGUGACGUCGCUGAUGUACGCGCCUCGGUGCCGCUGCGCCUCAUUACACGUGGAAUCUUAAAAACAAACAAACAGGCAGGUAUCUCGUCGUGAUGGCAACCACGACAGCUUGAACUUUCUCAGACUUGGCGGAGCUUCGGAACCAGCAGAUGUACAGUAUCAACCCCUCUAGAGCAAAGGGCACCACAGGUGUCACUGCUGGAGCAGGGCAGACUGUGGGCUUGGAGACCUCCUCUGGCACAUGCUUGAAGAGUUCAUCCAGCCUUCUUCCUGUUGCACUGGGGGAAAAUGGCUGGGAACUUCCUCUCACAGAUGACUAUCUAAAGCAGUUGUGAAUGUUUCAGCGGUCAGCCCUGUUCCCUUAAGAUGUGUCAGACCUGCAGGCUCCAGGGGUUUAUUGCCCUUAAUAAUUAACAGGUACAAAGGCACUGAGGGAGGAAAUUCAAUAGAGCUGCA